rnacentral:tRNA from 1 species
GGUUUGUGGCUCAGUGGUAGAGCGCUUGCCUAGCAUGUGUGAGGCCCUGGGUUCAAUUCUCAGCACCA